ACUCCUACGGGAGGCAGCAGUAGGGAAUUUUCCGCAAUGGACGAAAGUCUGACGGAGCAAUGCCGCGUGAGUGAUGAAGGUUUUCGAAUCGUAAAGCUCUGUUGUAAGGGAAGAAUAGCAAGGAUAGGAAAUGCUCCUUGUCUGACGGUACCUUACCAGAAAGCCACGGCUAACUACGUGCCAGCAGCCGCGGUAAUACGUAGGUGGCAAGCGUUAUCCGGAAUUAUUGGGCGUAAAGCGCAUGCAGGCGGCCUGUUAAGUCAGAUGUGAAAGCCCGGGGCUUAACCUCGGAAUUGCAUUUGAAACUGGCAGACUAGAGUACUGUAGAGGGGGUGAGAAUUGAUCAGGUGUAGCGGUGAAAUGCGUAGAGAUCUGAAGGAAUACCGGUGGCGAAGGCGGCCCCCUGGCACAGAUACUGACACUCAGAUGCGAAAGCGUGGGAGCAAACAGGAUUAGAUACCCUGGUAGGUGA
rnacentral:rRNA from 1 species